CAUAGCCUUGGUCCUGACCUUACUAUUAGUUCCUAGCAAACUUACACAUGCAAGCAUCCACGUUCCAGUGAAAAUGCCCUCUAGGUCCACCAGACCAAAAGGAGCAGGUAUCAAGCGCACAAGCCCAAUGUAGCUCACAACGCCUUGCUCAACCACGCCCCCACGGGAAACAGCAGUGAUAAAAAUUAAGCAAUAAACGAAAGUUCGACUUAGUUAUGCUAAUGCUAAGGGUUGGUAAAUUUCGUGCCAGCCACCGCGGUCAUACGAUUAACCCAAAUUAAUAUUAACCGGCGUAAAACGUGUUUAAGACUAAUUAAAUAAUAAAGUUAAACCAAAACUAGGCCGUAAAAAGCUGCAGUUAAAGUAAAAAAAACAACGAAAGUGACUUUAAUAUAUCUGAACACACGAUAGCUAAGACCCAAACUGGGAUUAGAUACCCCACUAUGCUUAGCCCUAAACCAAGACAUUUAAUAAACCAAAAUGUUCGCCAGAGUACUACUAGCAACAGCCUAAAACUUAAAGGACUUGGCGGUGCUUCACACCCCUCUAGAGGAACCUGUCCUAUAAUCGACAAACCCCGAUAAACCUCACCACCCCUCGCCAAUACAGCCUAUAUACCGCCAUCCCCAGCAAACCUUAAAGAGUACCACAGUAAGCACAAUUAUUACCCGUAAGUACGUUAGGUCAAGGUGUAGCCCAUGAGGUGGAAAGAGAUGGGUUACAUUUUCUUAAAAAGAAAACCUACGAAAGUCUCCGUGAAACUCCGGAGACUGAAGGAGGAUUUAGAAGUAACUUAAGAACAGAGAGCUUAACUGAACCGGGCCAUGAAGCACGCACACACCGCCCGUCACCCUCCUCGACCCGCCAACAACCAACAACCAACAACCAACAAACAUAUUAUACGUAACAUAGGCACCUUGUAGAGGAGACAAGUCGUAACAAGGUAAGCAUACUGGAAAGUGUGCUUGGAAUAAC
rnacentral:ncRNA from 1 species